CAACGUUGACAAAAACCAAAACCGAAACAACAUUAGACUACUCAGUUACGCCCUAACAGUAUAACUUUGCAAACAGUACUUUUUCUUAUUCAAUCGAACAAAGAGUAAAACCAACUUAUAUUAUUCUAUUAUACCCCGAGAAUGUAAAUUUGCAACUUAUCGAUGUCAACGUUCACAAGAACGAAAACCGGAAGAACAUUAGACUACUCAGUUGCGCCCUAACAGCAUAACUUU
rnacentral:lncRNA from 1 species